GUAGUUAGCCGGGGCUUUCUAAUGGGGUACCGUCACUUCCUUCGUCCCCCACAACAGAGGUUUACAAUCCGAAAACCUUCUUCCCUCACGCGGCGUUGCUGGGUCAGGCUUUCGCCCAUUGCCCAAUAUUCCCCACUGCUGCCUCCCGUAGGAGUCUGGACCGUGUCUCAGUUCCAGUGUGGCCGUUCAGCCUCUCAGCUCGGCUACCCAUCGUCGGCUUUGUGGGCUGUUAUCUCACCAACUACCUAAUGGGACGCGAACCCCUCCUUUAGCGGAUUGCUCCUUUGACCCCUUCGCCAUGUGGCAUUGUGGUCUUAUGCGGUAUUAGCACUUGUUUCCAGGUGUUAUCCCCCUCAAAAGGUCAGGUUGUUCACGCGUUACUCACCCGUUCGCCACUAGACGUAAAACCGAAAUCUUACGCCCCGUUCGACUUGCAUGUGUUAGGCACGCCGCCAGCGUUCGUCCUGAGCCAGAAUCGAACCCUCGA
rnacentral:rRNA from 1 species